rnacentral:rRNA from 1 species
CCUACGGGAGGCAGCAGUGAGGAAUAUUGGUCAAUGGACGAGAGUCUGAACCAGCCAAGUAGCGUGAAGGAUGACUGCCCUAUGGGUUGUAAACUUCUUUUAUAUGGGAAUAAAAUGUUCCACGUGUGGGAUUUUGUAUGUACCAUAUGAAUAAGGAUCGGCUAACUCCGUGCCAGCAGCCGCGGUAAUACGGAGGAUCCGAGCGUUAUCCGGAUUUAGUGGGUUUAAAGGGAGCGUAGGUGGAUGGUUAAGUCAGUUGUGAAAGUUUGCGGCUCAACCGUAAAAUUGCGGUUGAAACUGGCAGUCGUGAGUACAGUAGAGGUGGGCGGAAUUCGUGGUGUAGCGGUGAAAUGCUUAGAUAUCAUGAAGAACUCCGAUUGCGAAGGCAGUUCACUGGACUGCAACUGACACUGAGGCUCGAAAGUGUGGGGAUCAAACAGGAUUAGAUACCCCUGUAGUC